UUCAGAAAAACCUGAUGUUGAAGCACUUAGAGGAGUCAGCAGAAGAGUCUACGGACCUCAUAAUGGAUCUCAGGCUGAGGAAUCAGGAACUGAAUCUCCAGCUGGAGGAUAUACAGGAUGAGGCCUCACUAGCGAGGCUGACUCUGACUCAAAGAGAGGAAAAAAACACGUACUUUCCCUCUCUCCUUUAAAGAAGAAUUAAAGCAGUUGGCUUCUUCACAGAUGAUGGGAACCAACAUAUCAGAUUUUCUAAAUACCAUGGAUACAACCCAUGAGGCGACUGAGGCUGAGGAGCUGGAUGAUGGUCCGACUGAAGUGGUAGACCUUCCAUCCCAAAGGUCCGCAGACAGCCUUCAGACAGGCAUCGUUCAGACAGGAGUUUUGAUGUUGACCUUCCUCGUACUUGUCAUUGUGUUCUUCAUAGCCUGUGGAGGCUUUGCAGGGAUGUAUUUUUCAACCAGCACCCUGUGGUGUAAUGCACAAUGUCUGAUACAGCCCUACGUCACACUGGAGUAUGGGGCUUUACCUUUUUUCUGAUAAAAUCAUUUAAAUCUAUUCACCUGGAUAAGUCUUUAAUUGAAAGUGCAAAAGACGAUUUUUCAUUAUCUUCAUAAAUGUUUUAUUUCAAGUAUUAUUUGGGAAAAAAAUCCACAUUACUUUGCGAAAAGAUCCAACUUGCAUGUUUAUUUGGAACUUA